rnacentral:misc_RNA from 1 species
GGAAUCUUCCGCAAUGGACGAAAGUCUGACGGAGCAACGCCGCGUGAGUGAUGAAGGUUUUCGGAUCGUAAAGCUCUGUUGUUAGGGAAGAACAAGUACCGUUCGAAUAGGGCGGUACCUUGACGGUACCUAACCAGAAAGCCACGGCUAACUACGUGCCAGCAGCCGCGGUAAUACGUAGGUGGCAAGCGUUGUCCGGAAUUACUGGGCGUAAAGGGCUCGCAGGCGGUUUCUUAAGUCUGAUGUGAAAGCCCCCGGCUCAACCGGGGAGGGUCAUUGGAAACUGGGGAACUUGAGUGCAGAAGAGGAGAGUGGAAUUCCACGUGUAGCGGUGAAAUGCGUAGAGAUGUGGAGGAACACCAGUGGCGAAGGCGACUCUCUGGUCUGUAACUGACGCUGAGGAGCGAAAGCGUGGGGAGCGAACAGGA